UACCAGCUCUCCGAGUGGUGUGGAUGUUUAUUGGGCCUAAAGCAUCCGUAGCUGGCUGGGCAAGCCCCCUGUUAAAUCCACCGAUUUAAUCGUUGGUGUGCGGGGGAUACUGUUCGGCUAGGGGACGGGAGAGGCCGACGGUAUUUUCGGGGUAGGGGUGAAAUCCUAUAAUCCCGGGAAGACCACCAGUGGCGAAGGCUGUCGGCUAGAACGCGCCUGACGGUGAGGGAUGAAAGCUGGGGGAGCGAACCGGAUUAGAUACCCGGGUAGUCCCAGCUGUAAACGAUGCAGGCUAGGUGUUUGGGCGGCCACGUGCCGCUCUAGUGCCGCAGAGAAGUCGUUAAGCCUGCCGCCUGGGGAGUACGGCCGCAAGGCUGAAACUUAGAGGAAUUGGCGGGGGAGCACCACAAGGGGUGAAGCUUGCGGUUU
rnacentral:rRNA from 1 species